UUUAAGGUCUAACCUGCCCAAUGAGGAUUUAAAUGGCCGCAGUAUUUUGACUGUGCAAAGGUAGCAUAAUUAUUAGUUUUUUAAUUGAAAGCUUGUAUGAAGGGUUGGACGAGAUAAGAUCUGUCUUUAUUUAAAUUAAAAUAUAAUUUAACUUUUAAGUAAAAAGGCUUAAAUGUUUAUAAAAGACGAGAAGACCCUAUAGAUCUUUAUUUAGUUGAGAUUUUAAUAAUUUAGGAUUAUUUUAAUUUAAAGUUUUAAUUAAAUUUUAUUGGGGUAAUAUAAAGAUUAAAUAAAUUCUUUUUAUUUAUAACAUUGAUUUAUGAAUAUAUGAUCCAUUAAUAUUGAUUAUAAGAUUAAGUUACCUUAGGGAUAACAGCGUAAUUUUUUUGGAGAGCUCAUAUCGAUAAAAAAGUUUGCGACCUCGAUGUUGGAUUAAAAAUUAGCUUGGGUGCAGGAGCUCAAGAUUUUGGUCUGUUCGACCAUUAAAUUUUUACAUGAUCUGAGUUCAGACCGGCGUAAGCCAGGUCGGUUUCUAUCUUUAUUAAGAUAAAAUGUUUUAGUACGAAAGGACCAGGCAUUUAAUAUAAUUAUAUUUAUUUUUUGAAGAAUAUU
rnacentral:rRNA from 1 species